rnacentral:rRNA from 1 species
UACGGGGGGGGGCAAGCGUUGUUCGGAAUUACUGGGCGUAAAGGGCUCGUAGGUGGCCAACUAAGUCAGACGUGAAAUCCCUCAGCUUAACUGGGGAACUGCGUCUGAUACUGGAUGGCUUGAGUUUGGGAGAGGGAUGCGGAAUUCCUGGUGUAGCGGUGAAAUGCGCAGAUAUCAGGAGGAACACCGGUGGCGAAGGCGGAUCUCUGGGCCAUUACUGACGCUGAGGAGCGAAAGCGUGGGGAGCGAACAGG